UACGUAGGGCGCAAGCGUUGUCCGGAAUUAUUGGGCGUAAAGAGCUCGUAGGCGGCCUGUUGCGUCCGCUGUGAAAUCCCGGGGCUCAACCCCGGGCGUGCAGUGGAUACGGGCUGGCUGGAGGCAGGCAGGGGAGAACGGAAUUCCUGGUGUAGCGGUGAAAUGCGCAGAUAUCAGGAGGAACACCGGUGGCGAAGGCGGUUCUCUGGGCUUGUACUGACGCUGAGGAGCGAAAGCGUGGGGAGCGAACAGG
rnacentral:rRNA from 1 species